rnacentral:miRNA from 1 species
GACAGAGUGCCACUUACUGAA